ACACACACACACACGUGUGCACACACACACACACACACACGUGUGUGUGUGUGUGUGCACACGUGUGUGUGUGUGUGUGUACACACACGUGUGUGUGUGUGUGUACGGGUGUGUGUGUGUGUACGCACACACGUGUGUGUGUGUGUACGCACACACGUGUGUGUGUGUGUACGCACACACGUGUGUGUGUG